rnacentral:lncRNA from 10 species
AAAAGACACAGCCUGGUCCUCUAGGAGUUCUCAGUACUCGUGUACAUGUUCUCUCAGUCAACCCCUCUGAAUCUCGUUUUCCCCCUCUGCACUUGGGGAAUACCAAAGGUCCCCACCUCAUUGGUGGCUUUGUAAUGAACAGCAGACGUGCAGAGCACUUAGCACAGAACCAGCCCAUAUGGUGGGCUCCUUGCAUGUUAGUUCCUACUGUCACUGUCACUGCCAUCCUUACAGGUUGCAGGAGCCCUGCUUCAGCCAGCUCAGGAGGAAAGUGAUCCAGAGAGAGGCCAUGUAAAGAGGGAAAUGUCCUCGCACUCAAACACAACCACCACGCAGCGCAGUUCCAUAGCCCCGCGGAGAGACAGGACAUUUUUCUGGAGCUGCUGGAGAGAACAGUCAGAGAAGCCUGGGGAGGAAGAGUUGAUGCCUUCUGGAGUUUCUUGUGGCGGGUGGUGGGUGGUGGGGGGAGCCCUUUCCGGGUGUCAACUUUUUCUUUCCUCUCUUCCCCCAGCUCCUGUUUUCAUCCUUACCAAUGAGAAUUCAGCUAAUUGUUUACUCCAGGCUUGUGCCUGUCACCAACUAACCCAGGAGGCCCUCAGAGCCAAGCCCUGCCCUUUGCCUCAUUCUUUGUAACUGGACACCUGCAAGAGUGCUGGGCACACAGUAGGUGCUCCAUAAAUGCUACUCAAAUGGAUAAGUAGGAUAAAUAAAUGCAGAGUUUGGUAGUUCAAGGUUGGGCGCAGUGGCUCACGCCUGUAAUCUCAGCACUUUGGGAGGCCAAGGCAGGCAGAUCGCCUGAGGUCAGGAGUUUGAGACCAGCCUGGCCAACAUGGUGAACCCCCCACUCUACUAAAAAUGCAAAAGUUAGCGGGUGUGGUGGGCACCUGUAAUCCCAGCUAUUUAGGAGGCUGAGGCAGGAGAAUCGCUUGAACCCGGGAGACGGAGGUUUCAGUGAGCCAGACUGCACCAUUGCACUCCAGCCUGGGCAACAAGAGUAAAACUCUGUCUCAAAAAAAAAAAGAAAAGAAAAAAGAGUUUGAUAGUGCAGAAGUGUGGCCUAUUGCCUGAGGCCCACAGGUGGUGCAGUGGGACCCAGGAAGGGUGAGAGAGAGACAGGAGCUUCCCCAUCC